rnacentral:lncRNA from 1 species
GCUAUUAAAUAAUACAAAACAACCGUUAUUUUCUAAAAAUUUAAGUUACUAAAAUAUAGUAUAUAUAAAUAUUUCUAUAUUUAACACUUUACUCACAUCUAGGCUCAAAACUUUUUGCUGGGCUAAUAACAUGGACCUGAAUUAUAUGGAAAAAAAUUAAUAAUGUUAAGAGUCUGACGUGACUUGAACUCACGACCGUCUACGUACUCUUAUAUAUAUCAUGUUAAAUAUUAUGAAAUAGUAGUUAUUUUUUAAAAAUUUAAACUAGUAAAGAACAGUGCUUAAAUAUUUUUUAUACU